UUCGCUCUGUGGGAAUAUCAGUGUGGUGACUGUUUACCCGGGGGAAGUGUUCUCAGGCCACGAUUAGCAGUGAGAACGUGGCCAUGGACGCGAAUUCCAAGUAGUGGCACUUCUGUAGACGUCGCGGCCCUUUUGGGGUUACUACUACCCAGGAAACUCACAUGCGACACGGGCGCCAGCUGAAGUCCAUCUAGACCCCCGCAGACCCAAGGUCACAAGUUGAGAACUCCCUGCCGUAGACAUUCUUCUGCACCUAGUGGUGGAGCAGGUGGAGCUGCACCUUGCUCCGCCCGUUUGGAGACUGGUUCUUUACAGAUGAGUGUGUCCUGCAGCGAUCCUGCAAUCUUUGGUGACUAACAAGGACUUACUGUGAAAACAGAUUUAUCUUUUCUUCUCUACCUUUAAGGUUUCUUGCUGUGGAGAAUAGUUAAGGGACGAGGAAUUCUUAUUGUCCCCAUUUUACAGGCAAAGAAACUAAUACUGACCCCAACCUUACCGACCACUUGGAGGUUCCUAAAAACACAUGACCUUUGUGUUUCUCCGCUGUUAGUGGAAUCCUUUCUCUCUGCUCAUGAACUCAUCUUCAAACGCAUUCCAGGCCUUCAAAACUCUUCUGUGAGCGCAAGUCCCUGGUAUGGGCCACUGUUAACUGCCGCUUAUCACCUGGAUUUUCUUAACUGUGCUUUGCCCCCUGAGGCUGUGAGCUCCUGAAUCUUCACCUUUGUCUGUAGGAGGAAAAGUUGUUUGAGAUGAUAUUUGAAUCCUUCAAUUUAGGCCAAAUUCAGAACAUAGCAGAAGGUUCUGGCUAACAUGCAGAAGCGUAUGACUGGACUCCCACUACUGUUGGUCUGCAAAGUUGAAGGCUACUGUAGGCAAAUGUGUCACCUUUAAUGUAUCUCCUUAGGAGCAGUCUUUCACCUUAUUCAUGCUCCUCGGCACCCACACCAAAAGAUUGAUGAAGCAAAUGUUAGCUAGUCUCUGCUUUACCCCGUCACCCCUGGCCUGAGGACCUUUGAACCAUUUUAAAUGCUCUACCUGCCAGCCUGGCCAUCUAUGCACUGCUUGCUCCAUCUACCCUUCUGACUCAGCUGAAAUACCACCUUCUCAAAGAAGUCUAAGUGACCACCUCAUCUAAAUUGGGUUUCCUACCCACCCCUCCUCUAUCACUUUGCCCAUGGUUGUAUUUCCAUCACAGAACUUCCAUCCAUCA